CGAAUGAUGAAAAUAAUAGGUCCGUGUUUCUGAGAUGUUGAUGAUUCCAUUUUCUGAUAAUG
rnacentral:snoRNA from 1 species